AAGCAUAACACUGAAGAUGUUAAGAUAGACCCUAGAAAGUCCCGCAAGCA
rnacentral:tRNA from 1 species